rnacentral:rRNA from 1 species
GACGAACGCUGGCGGCGUGCUUAACACAUGCAAGUCGAACGGAAAGGCCCUGCUUUUGUGGGGUGCUCGAGUGGCGAACGGGUGUGUAACACGUGAGUAACCUGCCCUUGUCUUUGGGAUAACUUCAGGAAACUGGGGCUAAUACCGGAUAUGAUCUCCUGCUGCAUGUUGGGGGUUGGAAAGUUUCGGCGGUUGGGGAUGGACUCGCGGCUUAUCCGCUUGUUGGUGUGGUAGUGGCUUACCAAGGCUUUGACGGGUAGCCGGCCUGAGAGGGUGACCGGCCACAUUGGGACUGAGAUACGGCCCUGACUCGUACGGGAGGCAGCAGUGGGGAAUAUUGCACAAUGGGCGGAAGCCUGAUGCAGCAACGCCGCGUGCGGGAUGACGGCCUUCGGGUUGUAAACCGCUUUCGACUGUGACGAAGCGUGAGUGACGGUAAUGGGUAAAGAAGCACCGGCUAACUACGUG